UACGAAGGGGGCUAGCGUUGUUCGGAAUUACUGGGCGUAAAGCGUGUGUAGGCGGCCGCGCAAGUCGGAUGUGAAAGCCCUGGGCCCAACUCAGGAAGUGCACCCGAUACUGCGUGGCUCGAGUACCGGAGAGGUUGGUGGAAUUCUCGGUGUAGAGGUGAAAUUCGUAGAUAUCGAGAGGAACACCUGUGGCGAAGGCGGCCAACUGGACGAGUACUGACGCUGAGACACGAAAGCGUGGGGAGCAAACAGG
rnacentral:rRNA from 1 species